GAUGAACGCUGGCGGCGUGCCUAAUACACGCAAGUCGAGCGAACGGACGAGAAGCUUGCUUCUCUGAUGUUAGCGGCGGACGGGUGAGUAACACGUGGAUAACCUACCUAUAAGACUGGGAUAACUUCGGGAAACCGGAGCUAAUACCGGAUAAUAUUUUGAACCGCAUGGUUCAAAAGUGAAAGACGGUCUUGCUGUCACUUAUAGAUGGAUCCGCGCUGCAUUAGCUAGUUGGUAAGGUAACGGCUUACCAAGGCAACGAUGCAUAGCCGACCUGAGAGGGUGAUCGGCCACACUGGAACUGAGACACGGUCCAGACUCCUACGGGAGGCAGCAGUAGGGAAUCUUCCGCAAUGGGCGAAAGCCUGACGGAGCAACGCCGCGUGAGUGAUGAAGGUCUUCGGAUCGUAAAACUCUGUUAUUAGGGAAGAACAAAUGUGUAAGUAACUAUGCACGUCUUGACGGUACCUAAUCAGAAAGCCACGGCUAACUACGUG
rnacentral:rRNA from 1 species